AUUGAACGCUGGCGGCAGGCUUAACACAUGCAAGUCGAGCGGAGCGAGGGUGCUUGCACCUUAGCUUAGCGGCGGACGGGUGAGUAAUGCUUAGGAAUCUGCCUAUUAGUGGGGGACAACAUUCCGAAAGGGAUGCUAAUACCACAUACGCCCUACGGGGGAAAGCAGGGGAUCUUCGGACCUUGCGCUAAUAGAUGAGCCUAAGUCGGAUUAGCUAGUUGGUGGGGUAAAGGCCUACCAAGGCGACGAUCUGUAGCGGGUCUGAGAGGAUGAUCCGCCACACUGGGACUGAGACACGGCCCAGACUCCUACGGGAGGCAGCAGUGGGGAAGAUUGGACAAUGGGCGGAAGCCUGAUCCAGCCAUGCCGCGUGUGUGAAGAAGGCCUUUUGGUUGUAAAGCACUUUAAGCGAGGAGGAGGCUACUAGUAUUAAUACUACUGGAUAGUGGACGUUACUCGCAGAAUAAGCACCGGCUAACCCUGUGCCAGCAGCCGCGGUAACAC
rnacentral:rRNA from 1 species